GCCGAGGUGGUGGAAUUGGUAGACACGCAUGAUUCAGGUUCAUGUGCUGGAUAACAGUGUGGGGGUUCAAAUCCCCCUCUCGGCA
rnacentral:tRNA from 1 species